CCAGUGUCUAAACUACCAGAUUGCAAGCUAUUAGCCACAAAUUGAGCAUAACAUACACAAGUAUUUAACAUAUGAAUGAAAGACAAAUAAUGACUAAGAAGAAAAUGUGAAGAGGAAAUCUGGCUUUGUAUAAGUUUAUUUCCCACUCAUAUCACAAUAAGUUUGAUUGGUUCUCUCAGGCAGUUUAUCAGGGUGAUGAGUUCCUUCUGUUAUAUGAUUUUGCUUCAAUUUCAAAGACUGGAAGAGAGAACACAGGCCUGUCCUGAGAUAUCUACCAACUGCUAUCUUGUCUUCCUGGCCAUUAGAAUGUGUGAUGAUAUUCAGAACCUACUUAACAUUUCUUUGUUCUAAAUAUACUAGACUUCUUGAAUCUUUGCAUUUCAUCUGGCAUAAAAAGUUUAGAAGGUAAGUCUUCAGAAAGAAGUAGAUCCUAUGUAUCAGAUAGAGAAGUGGAGAAAAAGACAUUCAAAGGUAGUGGAACCAGAGGUUAUUCUCAGGUUACUAAAUGCAAAAGAACAGAAAAGCAAAACAAGGUGGUCAAAAUUGC
rnacentral:lncRNA from 1 species